UACGGGGGGGGUAAGCGUUGUUCGGAAUUACUGGGCGUAAAGGGCUCGUAGGCGGCCAACUAAGUCAUACGUGAAAUCCCUCAGCUUAACUGGGGAACUGCGUGUGAUACUGGAUGGCUUGGAUUUGGGAGAGGGAUGCGGAAUUCCAGGUGUAGCGGUGGAAUGCGCAGAUAUCAGGAGGAACACCAAUAGCGAAGGCAGCUCGCUGGGACGGUAUUGACGCUAAGGCGCGAAAGCGUGGGGAGCAAACAGG
rnacentral:rRNA from 1 species